rnacentral:lncRNA from 1 species
CGCGAAAUUUUCAAUUGGCAUUUAUCCGUUUCAGAUCCGUUCAUCAUCCGUUUUAUCCGUUACACGUCCGGUAGAAGUCCGUUUCUCAUCCGUUCAACAUCCGUUUUAUCCGUUAAACGUCCGGUAGAAGUCCGUUGGUGAAUUUAUCUUCCAGACCUCCAACGGAUGUAUAACGGACACGUAACGGAUACAAAACGGAAACGAAACGGACGAGUACCGUACAAAACGGACGCCCAACGGACGUUCAACGGACAUUUUAUCCGUUGGACGUCCGUUCAAAGUUUUGAACAUGCUCAAAAUUUUCCACCAGACAGAACGGACGUCGACGGAUAAAACGUACGCUUAACGGACAUGCAACGGAUAUGGACGGACGUCUAACGGAUAAGAACGGACGUCUAACGGACAUGAACGGAUUGAAAAAAAGUUAUCUGUUAGGCGUCCGUUCGAGCUAUCCGGUAAGGUGUGACCUAGGCUUAAG